rnacentral:rRNA from 1 species
GACGAGCCUCACAAACGUUAUUCGGAAUUACUGGGCUUAAAGGGUGCGUAGGCGGCGCGGAAAGUUGGGUGUGAAAUCCCUCGGCUCAACCGAGGAAUUGCGCUCAAAACUACCGUGCUCGAGGGAGAUAGAGGAAUGCGGAACUUACGGUGGAGCGGUGAAAUGCGUUGAUAUCGUAGGGAACACCGGUGGCGAAGGCGGCUCUCUGGGACGGUACUGACGCUGAGACGCGAAAGCGUGGGGAGCGAACAGG